rnacentral:rRNA from 1 species
CGGGGUGAGUAACACGUGGAUAACCUACCUAUAAGACUGGGAUAACUUCGGGAAACCGGAGCUAAUACCGGAUAAUAUUUUGAACCGCAUGGUUCAAAAGUGAAAGACGGUCUUGCUGUCACUUAUAGAUGGAUCCGCGCUGCAUUAGCUAGUUGGUAAGGUAACGGCUUACCAAGGCAACGAUGCAUAGCCGACCUGAGAGGGUGAUCGGCCACACUGGAACUGAGACACGGUCCAGACUCCUACGGGAGGCAGCAGGC